CUUGAGAGGAGUUGAGAUCCUGCUUUCUCUUCAGAAUGCCAUCUCUAGGAUGCCAAUGGGCUGUGUCUACAGUACUAUGUAGGAAAGUGCUGCAAGAGAGAGCCCAUUUUGCCUAAACAAGAACCACGAUUAUGUAAAGUUCUUUCUGUCACCUCUCUGAAGACCUGGUUCAUAUCUGCAGCUGCAACUCUAUCCCUGAACUCAUCUUUGAAACUACCCAGAGAUAGACUGUCAAGAGCUUCAGAGCUUUACAACAGGAUCUUCCAAGUGCCCUGAGAGGUCAUGAUGGAGCCAAUAGAAAUAAAUCAUACAAAACAAAGCCAGAACCUGGUGGGAGGGAUGCUUACAAAACAACAUAAACGAGAAGUUGUCUGAAAAAAAAUUGUAUGGAAGGAAGAAGAGAUGAGAUAAGGGAAAUGAACUCAUAAUAGCCCCAGUUAAAAUACUUACAGUAAAAUAUCAUUAGUACUACUUGAUGUUGGUGAAAGGCUCUAGACUCAAGUCAGAAGGCCCAAUUUGUUGCUGUGAUUUCUUGAACAAAUUAUGUAAUUGUGUUGAGAUUCAGUUUUCUUUUCUAUCAUUGGGUAUUAAUAACUUCUAUGUGAUGUCAGAGUUAUGAUGUGAAGUUAAAAUAACUAAUAAAUGGGUAAACCCUGAAAAUUUGAUAGAAUUUUGUGAAUGAGAGAAUCUUACAAAUACAGUACCUGAAACCAAAAGAAUUAAGUCUCAGCUUGAGGAAUAUCAGAUACUAGGGCAGGCUAAUGGGAUAAAGGUCUCAUUGAUCUGCCAC
rnacentral:lncRNA from 10 species